rnacentral:rRNA from 1 species
AUUGAACGCUGGCGGAAGGCUUAACACCUGCAAGUCGAGAGAGCGGCGGACGGGUGAGUACUGUAUGGGAAACUGCCUGAUGGAGGGGGAUAACUACUGGAAACGGUAGCUAAUACCGCAUAGCAUCAGAAAUGCCCAGAUGGGAUGGGCUAGUAGGUGGGGUAAUGGCGCACCUAGGCGGCGAUCCCUAGCUGGUCUGAGAGGUUGACCAGCGAGACUGGAACACAGACACGGUCCAGACUCCUACGGGAGGCAGCAGUGGGGAAUAGUGCACAAUGGGCGCAAGCCUGAUGCAGCCAUGCCGCGUGUGUGAAUAAGGCCUUCGGGUUGUAAAGCACGUGCAGCGUGGAGGCGUUACUCGCAGUAGAAGCACCGUCUAACGCCGUGCCAGCAGCCGCGGUAAUUC